AAGUCAUGAUGAGGACAUUUCCAAAACAAAUCAUUCAAUCUUUCCCAAGCCUCGUAGAAUUUCUCGCCAUCAUUUUGAGAAAAACCUAUUAUACUCUCCGAAUUU